GGGGAUGUGGCUCAAGCGGUAGUGCAUUCACCUGGCAUGUGCAGGGCGCUGGGUUCGAUCCUCAGCACCACA
rnacentral:tRNA from 1 species